rnacentral:lncRNA from 1 species
CCACCUGUUUCACGGAAAGGUAGAACUAAGCCCAGGCAUGACAAGCUGCCUGUCCACUGGUGCUAUAGCGAAUCCUCAGCAGGAGCCAGAAGCUGACCCAGCACACGGACUCCCAUCCCAGAGUGGUCACCACAGGCUCCUGUAAAGCCAGAAAGCAGAGACUUCGGAACAGGAGUCUGAGCCCAUCCAAUACCAUGUGGUUUGUUCAGGGA